rnacentral:rRNA from 1 species
CCUACGGGUGGCAGCAGUGGGGAAUAUUGCACAAUGGGGGAAACCCUGAUGCAGCGACGCCGCGUGAGGGAUGAAGUUUUUCGGUUUGUAAAGCCCUAUCAUCAGGGAAGAAAAUGACGGUACCUGACGAAGAAGCACCGGCUAACUCCGUGCCAGCAGCCGCGGUAAUACGGAGGGGGCAAGCGUUACUCGGAUUUACUGGGCGUAAAGGGAGCGUAGACGGGGGUGCAAGUCAGAUGUGAAAGCCUGGGGCUCAACCCCGGGACUGCAUUUGGAACUGUGCUUCUAGAGUGUCGGAGAGGCAGGCGGAAUUCCUGGUGUAGGGGUGAAAUGCGUAGAGAUCAGGAGGAACACCAGUGGCGAAGGCGGCCUGCUGGACCAUGACUGACGUUGAGGCUCGAAAGCGUGGGGAGCAAACAGGAUUAGAUACCCCAGUAGUC